rnacentral:misc_RNA from 1 species
GGGAUAUUUAUAUUUAAAAUUUAAAUCUUCGAAAUAUCCAAGGUUACGUCAACAAAUGUGAUUUUUAUUAAAAUUGCUUUAAAUUUAAAUACAAUUUUACUGGAAUUUGAUCUUUCUGUGUAAAUUCAACUCUCCUAUUUUACAAUGAGCACUACUAGAGAAAAAUACGGCCCUUUGGUGGGUUCUAUAGACGAAGGGACUUCAAGUACUCGUUUUCUGGUUUUCGCUUCAAAAACCGCCGAAGUAUUGACGUACCAUCAAAAAGAUAUCCCCCACAUUUGCCCACACGAAGGAUGGUUCGAGCAAGACCCUCAAAUUAUAAUGGACUCAGUCAUAGAGACUAUCCAGGUCGCCUGCGAUAACCUGAAGAAACUCAGUAUAGACUACGAAGAGAUUGUGGCCGUCGGCAUAACAAAUCAGAGAGAAACAACAGUGUUGUGGGAUAAAUAUACGGGAAAACAUCUGUGCAAUGCUUUGGUGUGGAUGGAUAUGAGGACUUCAAGCACAGUGGACGAAAUACUGGAGGACGGGAAGAAAUCGCAGUAUUUCUUACAGAGAGCUACCGGUUUGCCUGUCAGUACUUAUUUCAGUGCUUUGAAAAUCAAAUGGAUGAUGGACAAUGUGCCGGCAGUGAAAACUGCGGUAGAUGAAGGGAGGUGUCUGUUUGGAAAUAUUGAUACUUGGAUCAUAUGGAAUUUAACUGGUGGUGUGAAAGGUGGACUUCACAUAACAGAUUGUACAAAUGCCUCGAGAACUAUGCUAAUGAACAUAGAAACGCUGAAGUGGGAUCCGCAAUUGUGCAAAGUCUUUGGUAUUCCCGAAAGUAUUCUCCCAGAAAUACGUAGUUCAGCAGAAAUAUACGGCUAUAUAAUCGAAGGGCUCCCUUUAGCUAGAGUUCCUAUAUCAGGGAUACUAGGUGACCAACAAGCAGCUCUAGUGGGCCAGUUAUGUUUUAAUAUGGGCCAGGCAAAGAGCACUUAUGGUACAGGGUGUUUUAUUUUAUACAAUACAGGAACAAGUAUGGUACAGUCAACUCACGGACUUCUGACUACUGUAGGUUAUAAAAUGGGACCAAAUCAACCCACCAUCUAUGCUCUGGAAGGCUCUGUGGCAAUUGCAGGCAUUUCAAUGAAAUGGUUGAGGGACAAUUUAAAUAUUAUACACGACGUUACUGAAUCGGGUGACAUAGCCCAAAAUGUACAGGAUAAAGGCGAAGUAGUGUUUGUUCCAGCUUUCUCCGGCUUGUACGCUCCGUACUGGAGAAAAGAUGCCAGGAGUGUUAUAUGUGGUUUAAGUGAAGAAACCAAACCCGGGCAUCUAGUUAAAGCAGCCCUCGAAGGCGUUUGUUAUCAAGUAAGAGAUGUCCUCGAAGCUAUGGCUCUAGACUGUAAGAUUCCUUUAAAGAAGAUUUUAGUUGAUGGCGGGAUGACUGCAAAUGAUUAUUUGAUGCAGAUGCAAGCCGAUUACUGUGGUAUCCCCGUAGACCUACUAUGUUGGAAACUACGGCCUUGGGCGCUGCGAUAGCCGCCGGUUGCGCACCUGGUGUUGAAGUGUGGGACCCUAGAAAGAUAGUAGCCACGCCUAAUGAUGUUUUUAAACCUUCCAUAUCUGAGAGUGUUCGAGAUAUGAAGUAUACUAGGUGGAAAAUGGGAAUCAGUAGGAGCUUAGGAUGGGAAGUUGAAGAAAAGUCACGUUCAAGAUCGAGUGAAUCUCCUGGUGCGUCUAUGGCUGGUGGUCUCUUCGUUUUUGGAUCUGUGCUUGCUCUAGCUGUAGCGGAUUUUUUAAGAACUAAACGGAUAUUUUCUUAGAAAUAGCAUUCCGUUUUUUCUUAUUUUAUAGUUGCCAUUAGUAUGACACUUUUUUACUUUGUUAUUGUUUGAUUAGUACUUAAUUUUUUACGCGGCUGUGGAUGUAGAAAACUAAAUUUUUUAUGUAGAUUUAGUGUGAAAGAAGAGUGAUGAGAUGAAUAAAAAUAUAACUGAAAACA